rnacentral:lncRNA from 1 species
GAUUAACUGACCUCUUCCAUGUUCAAACCAUAUGUAAUUGUAAUUGAAUGGAAGUUAAACAUCUGGAAACCGUUAGGAUUGAAUAGCAAUGAAAGGCAGGAAGCACAAGACUAUGGAAAGUGAUUUUGAACAACCAGGUGGUCCCAAAGAUAACCAAUUGUUUAGAGCCUAGAGGAAAGGGAAGAACCCACAUCUACCAUGAAUGAAUAAAUGGCGACCUGGAAGCAUACUUCUGGUAGCAAUGGGGACACGGGUCAAAGGGGACUUGAGGUUAUCAGCUUUCAGAAUGAAGACACAUAAUCCCUAUUAGAGUGGAAGACUUAAAAUCGAGUUUGAGACCCACCUUCUGAAACUGCAGGCUCUUGGGAGCCUGAUUUCCGGUGAAGAGUGUUGCUGCUUUGCAUUUUUCACACUUGAACACAGUGAAGAAGAUGAACAUUAAUUAGGAUUAUAGUGCCAUGGAGGCUUACUGUGCUGUGAGAACUCACAAGAAAUAAAAUGCCAUUUCUUUUUUUGGAUGCA